rnacentral:rRNA from 1 species
AAGGAUCAUUAACGAGUUUUGAAAUGGGUUGUAGCUGGCCUUACGAAGGCAUGUGCACACCCUGCUCAUCCACUCUCAUACCCCUGUGCACCUAUUGUAGGCUUGGUGGGAUGACUGGUGUUACAGCCAGUUUGAAAGCCUUGCCUAUGUUUCAAUACACACGCUUCAGUUUAAGAAUGUAACCUUUGCGUCUAACGCAUGAAAUACAACUUUCAGCAACGGAUCUCUUGGCUCUCGCAUCGAUGAAGAACGCAGCGAAAUGCGAUAAGUAAUGUGAAUUGCAGAAUUCAGUGAAUCAUCGAAUCUUUGAACGCACCUUGCACUCCUUGGUAUUCCGAGGAGUAUGCCUGUUUGAGUGUCAUGGUAUUCUCAACCUUCAAAGCUUUGCAAUAAGGCUUGGAUGUGGAGGUCGUGUUGGCGCAAGUCAACUCCUCUUAAAUACAUUAGUGUGAAUCUUACGGAUCGCCUUCAGUGUGAUAAGUAUCUACGCUGUGGUGUUGAAGUAUAUAGGCAUUCAUGCUUCUAAUCGUCUCUUGACUGAGACAAUUACUUGACAAUCUGACCUCAAAUCAGGUAGGACUACCCGCUGAACUUAAG